rnacentral:rRNA from 1 species
GAGUUUGAUUAUGGCUCAGAACGAACGCUGGCGGCGCGUCUUAAGCAUGCAAGUCGAACGGCAAGAGAGGAGCUUGCUUCUCUCCUAGAGUGGCGGACUGGUGAGGAACACGUGGGUAAUCUACCCUUAAGAUGGGGAUAGCUGCUAGAAAUAGCAGAUAAUACCGAAUACACUCGAUAUUUCAUAAGAGAUUUUGAGGAAAGGAAGCUACGGCUUCGCUUAAGGAUGAGCUUGCGUCCCAUUAGCUUGUUGGUGAGGUAACGGCCCACCAAGGCGACGAUGGGUAUCCGGCCUGAGAGGGUGAUCGGACACAUUGGGACUGAGAUACGGCCCAAACUCCUACGGGAGGCACGCAGCUAAGAAUAUUCCGCAAUGGACGGAAGUCUGACGGAGCGACGCCGCGUGGAUGAAGAAGGCUGAAAAGUUGUAAAAUCCUUUUCUUGAUGAAGAAUAAGGGGAAGAGGGAAUGCUUCUCUGAUGA